UGGUGACGUCACCGCCACUUAGUGGCGAAUGGCGGUUGUUGUUGUGUGUGGUGAUGUGUGCGUGUGGUGAUGUGUGUGUGGUGAUGUGUGUGGUGAUGUGUGUGUGGUGAUGUGUAUGUGGUAAUGUGUGUGUGUAUGUGGUGAUGUGUGUGUGUGUAUGUGGUGAUGUGUGUGUGUAUGUGGUGAUGUGUGUGUGUAUGUGGUGAUGUGUGUGUGGUGAUUGUGUGUGUGGUGAUGUGUGUGUGAGGCGAAUAUUUUGUCUUGUGUUUAACCUGCGGCUCCACGCACACAUGCGAUGGGCACAUGCCUCUUACUACUUGUCAGCUCAUCAGGAGCGCUUCUUGCGCUGCUGCGAGGGGGCUGCUGCAGAGACUCGCUGAGUGUCAGGCAGAUGAGUGCCAGCAGGGGCCGGGCGCGCUGGGCCCAGCUGCUAGAGCGCGUGUCGCUGCGGGAGCGCAUCUUCAGCAAGCGGCCCCUCACCGCCACCCCUUACCGGCCCCGACUGUCAACGCCAGACCUCCCCCCGCAUGUGUGGAGCCUCUUCCACCGGCAGGCGGACGCGCUGCAGUUGGCACGCAGCGCCGCCCCAGCUCAGGAGGUACACACGUUCGCAUUUGAGCGUCCUAACCAAGCGACCGCAGGUACAAGAACCUUCCUGGUCACAUCCUACUCCGAGUUUUGGCAUUACUAUCAUGUGUACUGCAGUGGAAGGGCAUCACACCAGGCGCAUUACUACGAAGUGAUCCCAGAGGGCAGCACGUGUCACUUGUAUUUUGAUGUGGAGUUCUCACGGGAGAGCAACCCUGACCUGGAUGGGGGUAGCUUAACAGCCACUCUCAUUAAGUAUGUCUGUGCAUGUAUUCAAGCGUGCUACGGGCUGGCUUGCACGAUGGGAGAUGUGCUAUCUCUGGACUCCAGCUCAGCCAGCAAGUUCAGCCGGCACUUGCUGUUCCACAUCCCUGGUGCAGCUUUUCAGGACAACCUGCAAGCCGGAAACUUUGUCCGAAAAAUAUUCAAGCCGCUUGCUGAGAAAAUUUGCAACAUUACACUGCAAGGUGUCGCAGAAGCCCAUUCUGUGUGUCCGAGUGAAAGUCCAGCAGUGCAACAUAUUGCAGAAUCCACAUUCUCCCAGAGUCUUCAGGGAGAGUUUGAGAUCAAAGAACAAUUGGAUAUCCUAGAAUCUCACAAAACACUGUGGGAUGAUGCCGACUCAAAUGAAUCAUGGACUGAGAACUGGAAGAAGGAGUUCGACCAAGAGUCUUCACUCUGUGGUUCUGAAAAUGAUCAGGAGUCGAAGAGCAAUGGGGAGUGCACAGGAACCCUGCGUGAUCACACAAACACUCAGUUCACCAAGGCAGGAGAGAUGACCCUGGACUGUUCUGCAACAUGGUAUCACCCUCAAGAUCAAGGGACAUCAGGAACUGAGAAAAGGUCACUGUGGGAUAUCUUGGAUUACAGAGAAACCUGGCAAUAUCUUCUGGAGGCUUUGAUUGUGAAAGACAAAAUCGGACAACUCACCCUGGCUGUUGACCUAGGUGUAUACACCAAGAACAGGAACUUCCGAUUGUAUGGCUCAUCAAAGGCAGGAGUGCUUGUCCCACUGCGACUGGCUCCAGAUGACAGUUAUGUAGCCCAAAGACUCCCUGCAUGGGGGGUCCAUAGAGCCAGAGAGACACUGCAGUCCACGGGGACAACCAGAGCCUCCGGAAGGCCUGCGUGGUCCUCGGAGGCCAAGAAGCACGUGGGGCUGCAGGAGAAGAUAUUUUUGGCUUCACUUAUCACCAAUGUCGAACGAACCCCAGGCCUUCACGUGCUGAGCUGCCUCGGUUCUCCCAUGGACACCCACCGGACAAACACCUUCGCUGCAAACAAUGCUCACGGUGACGCCAAACCUACUUUGUGGACCUACAUCAGGGGAUUUUCUACCAGAAGUGCCACGACCAGGAAUGCAAGGCAAUAAAUUUCCGCUCUCAAAACUAUCCUCUUCCUCAAGAGUGCCUCCCCAAAUUCAUUCUCUCUCGAAGCGAUUUUCCUGGAGAAGCUGGAGAUAAAGAAGUUGGAGAAGACCACACACAGAACCAGAGACAGACACAGUGACAACCAC